rnacentral:rRNA from 1 species
UAUUAGAUAAAGAACCAAUAUUUUUGGUGACUCAUAAUAACUUUACGGAUCACAUUAUGUGACAUAUCAUUCAAGUUUCUGACCUAUCAGCUUUAGACGGUAGGGUAUUGGCCUACCGUGGCUAUGACGGGUAACGGGGAAUUAGGGUUCGAUUCCGGAGAGGGAGCCUGAGAAACGGCUACCACAUCUAAGGAAGGCAGCAGGCGCGCAAAUUACCCAAUCCUAAUACAGGGAGGUAGUGACAAGAAAUAACAAUACAGAACCUUACGGUUUUGUAAUUGGAAUGAGUUAAGUAUAAACCCCUUAACAAGUAUCAAUUGGAGGGCAAGUCUGGUGCCAGCAGCCGCGGUAAUUCCAGCUCCAAUAGCGUAUAUUAAAGUUGUUGCAGUUAAAAAGCUCGUAGUUAAUCUUCUGUUAAUUUUUAUAUAUAAUAUCUCGAUAUUUAUAUAAUAUUAACAUAAUUCAUAUUACUUUUUAGUAUAUGAAACUUUACUUUGAGAAAAUUAGAGUGCUUAAAGCAGGCUAUUGCCUUGAAUACUCCAGCAUGGAAUAAUAUUAAGGAUUUUUAUUCUUCUUAUUGGUUCUAGAAUAAAAAUGAUGAUUAAUAGGAACAGUUGGGGGCAUUUGUAUUUAACAGUCAGAGGUGAAAUUCUUAGAUUUGUUAAAGACAAACUACUGCGAAAGCAUUUGCCAAGGAUGUUUUCAUUAAUCAAGAACGAAAGUUAGGGGAUCGAAGACGAUCAGAUACCG